rnacentral:tRNA from 1 species
CAGAGCAUAACGCAGUUGGUAGCGUGUCUGCUUUGGGAGCAGAAAGUCAUAGGUUCAAAUCCUAUUGCUUUGA